rnacentral:rRNA from 1 species
AUUGAACGCUGGCGGCAGGCCUAACACAUGCAAGUCGAGCGAGCGGCGGACGGGUGAGUAAUGUCUGGGAAACUGCCUGAUGGAGGGGGAUAACUACUGGAAACGGUAGCUAAUACCGCAUACCAUCAGAUAUGCCCAGAUGGGAUUAGCUAGUGGGUGGGGUAAUGGAUCACCUAGGCGACGAUCCCUAGCUGGUCGGAGAGGAUAACCAGCCACACGGGAACGGAGAAACGGUCCAGACUCCAACGGGAGGCAGCAGGGGGGAAUAUUGGACAAGGGGCGAAAGCCUGAUGCGGCAAGGCCGCGUGUAUGAGGAAGGCCUUCGGGUUGUAAAGCACUUUAAGUUGGGAGGCGUUACCAACAGAAUAAGCACCGGCUAACUUCGUGCCAGCAGCCGCGGUAAUUC